AGGACACUCUAUACGGAGUUACAAAGGACGACAUUAGACGAAUCAUCUGGAAAGAUGAAUCAAAGAAGGUAAUAAUCCUGUAGUCGAAAAUGUUGUCUCUCUUGAGUGGAUCCUGAGUACGACGGAGCACGUGAAAUUCCGUCGGAAUCUGGGAGGACCAUCUCCUAAGGCUAAAUACUCUCUAGUGACCGAUAGUGAACCAGUACCGUGAGGGAAAGGUGAAAAGCACCCCGGAAGGGGAGUGAAAUAGAACCUGAAACCGUGUGCUUACAAGUAGUCAGAGCCCGUUAAUGGGUGAUGGCGUGCCUUUUGUAGAAUGAACCGGCGAGUUACGAUUUGAUGCAAGGUUAAGCAGUAAAUGUGGAGCCGUAGCGAAAGCGAGUCUGAAUAGGGCGUUUAGUAUUUGGUCGUAGACCCGAAACCAGGUGAUCUACCCUUGGUCAGGUUGAAGUUCAGGUAACACUGAAUGGAGGACCGAACCGACUUACGUUGAAAAGUGAGCGGAUGAACUGAGGGUAGCGGAGAAAUUCCAAUCGAACCUGGAGAUAGCUGGUUCUCUCCGAAAUAGCUUUAGGGCUAGCCUCAAGUGAUGAUUAUUGGAGGUAGAGCACUGUUUGGACGAGGGGCCCCUCUCGGGUUACCGAAUUCAGACAAACUCCGAAUGCCAAUUAAUUUAACUUGGGAGUCAGAACAUGGGUGAUAAGGUCCGUGUUCGAAAGGGAAACAGCCCAGACCACCAGCUAAGGUCCCAAAAUAUAUGUUAAGUGGAAAAGGAUGUGGCGUUGCCCAGACAACUAGGAUGUUGGCUUAGAAGCAGCCAUCAUUUAAAGAGUGCGUAAUAGCUCACUAGUCGAGUGACACUGCGCCGAAAAUGUACCGGGGCUAAACAUAUUACCGAAGCUGUGGAUUGUCCUUUGGACAAUGGUAGGAGAGCGUUCUAAGGGCGUUGAAGCAUGAUCGUAAGGACAUGUGGAGCGCUUAGAAGUGAGAAUGCCG
rnacentral:rRNA from 1 species